UGAGGAAUAUUCCACAAUGGGGGAAACCCUGAUGGAGCGAUGCCGCGUGCAGGAAGACGCUUUUCGGAGUGUAAACUGCUUUUAACAAGGAAGAUUAUGACGGUACUUGUAGAAUAAGGACCGGCUAACUACGUGCCAGCAGCCGCGGUAAUACGUAGGGUCCAAGCGUUAUUCGGAAUUACUGGGCGUAAAGCGUUCGUAGGCGGUUUGGUAAGUUGGAUGUGAAAUCCUGUGGCUCAACCACAUGGACUGUGUCCAAAACUACCUGACUAGAGCAUAGUAGAGGCAAGUGGAAUUUGCGGUGUAGGAGUGACAUCCGUAGAUAUCGCAAGGAACACCAAUGGCGAAGGCAGCUUGCUGGGCUAUUGCUGACGCUCAGGAACGAAAGCGUGGGGAGCGA
rnacentral:rRNA from 1 species